UAACGGUGCAAGGAUCUAUCAAGGCCUUGUAAUUGGAAUGAAUAGAGUUUAAAAAAUUGUACUGAGUACCAAUUGGAGGGCAAGUCUGGUGCCAGCAGCCGCGGUAAUUCCAGCUCCAAUGGCAUAUAUUAAAGUUGUUGUGGUUAAAAAGCUCGUAGUUGGAAUCUUGCCUGAGGAGUUAGUGGAAGCCGAAUGGUUUUCUUCUAUAGAGUUCAGGCUUUUGCCUUGAGAACAAUUAGUGCUCUUGACUGGGUGUUUUUUGAAUUGUCAAGCACUAUUACCUUGACUAAAUUCGAGUGCUUAAAGCAGGCGUUUGCCUGAAGAGAUGUUCAUGGGAUGAUGGAACAUGAUCUCUGUUCUGUUUGUUGGUUUGAGAUAAAAGAGAUAAUGAUAAAUGGAAGCAAGCGGGGGCAUUUGUACUGCUACGCUAGAGGUGAAAUUCUUGGACCGUAGCAUGACAAACUAAAGCGAAAGCAUCUGCCAAGGAUGUUUCCGUUAAUCAAGAACGAAAGUUAGAGGAUCGAAGGCGAUCAGAUACCGCCCUAGUUCUAACUGUAAACUAUGCUGACCAGCUAUCUGCCGGCGUUAUUCCCAUGACUCGGCAGGCCGCUUCCGGGAAACCAGAGUUUCUGAGUUCCAGGGGAAGUAUGGUUGCAAAUCUGAAACUUAAAGGAAUUGACGGAAGGGCACCACAAGGAGUGGAGCCUGUGGCUUAAUUUGACUCAACACGGGAAACUUUACCAGGCCCAGACAGUAGAAUGAUUGACAGAUUGAAAGCUCUUUCUCAAUUUAUUGGUUGGUGGUGCAUGGCCGUUCUUAGUUGGUGGAGUGAUUUGUCUGGUUUAUUCCGAUAACGAACGAGACUCUGGCCUACUAAAUAGGGAGCGGGUUGUUAUUCGCCCGCGGUGUCUUCUUAGAGGGAUAAGCUGCUUGCAGCAGCAAGAGAUUGAGCGAUAACAGGUCUGGUAUGCCCUUAGAUGCUCUGGGCCGCACGCGCGCUACAAUGGUAGCGUCAGCGUGCACAGCAUCUCUGAGAGGAGGUGUCAAUCAUUGAAAUGGUACCGUGGUUGGGAUUGGGGCUUGCAAUUGUUUCCCAUGAACUAGGAAUUCCUAGUAGGCGCAGGUCCUUAGCCUGCAUCGAUUAAGUCCCUGCCCUUUGUACACACCGCCCGUCGCUACUACCGAUUGGGUGCACGCAGUGAGGGCUUUGGACUGGCAUCCUUGGUGGGUUCUGCCCGCCUUGGCUAGAUAGG
rnacentral:rRNA from 1 species